rnacentral:rRNA from 1 species
AUUGAACGCUGGCGGAAUGCUUUACACAUGCAAGUCGAACGGUAGAGGGGGCAACCCCUCGAGAGUGGCGAACGGGUGAGUAAUAUAUCGGAACGUGCCCAGUCGUGGGGGAUAACGUAGCGAAAGUUACGCUAAUACCGCAUACGAUCUAAGGAUGAAAGCGGGGGAUCGCAAGACCUCGCGCGCUUGGAGCGGCCGAUAUCAGAUUAGGCAGUUGGUGGGGUAAAGGCCCACCAAGCCAACGAUCUGUAGCUGGUCUGAGAGGACGACCAGCCACACUGGAACUGAGACACGGUCCAGACUCCUACGGGAGGCAGCAGUGGGGAAUUUUGGACAAUGGGCGAAAGCCUGAUCCAGCCAUUCCGCGUGCAGGAUGAAGGCCCUCGGGUUGUAAACUGCUUUUGUACAGAACGAAAAGGCUUCUACUAAUACUAGGAGCUCAUGACGGUACUGUAAGAAUAAGCACCGGCUAACUACGUGCCAGCCGCCGCGGUAA